rnacentral:rRNA from 1 species
GAGUCACGGCAAACUGCUCAGUAACACGUGGAUAAUCUAACCUUGAGUAAGGGAUAACUUCGGGAAACUGAAGGUAAUACCUUAUAAUUGCUUAAAACUGGAAUGUUUUUGCAAUAAAAGUUACGACGCUCAAGGAUGAGUCUGCGACCUAUCAGGUAGUAGGUGGUGUAAUGGACCACCUAGCCUCAGACGGGUACGGGCCCUGGGAGGGGUAGCCCGGAGAUGGACUCUGAGACAUAAGUCCAGGCCCUACGGGGCGCAGCAGGCGCGAACACUGUGCAAUGCGCGAAAGCGCGACACGGGGAGCUUGAGUGUCUUGGCAUAGCCAAGACUUUUCUCAUUCCUAAAAAGCAUGAGGAAUAAGUGCUGGGUAAGACGGGUGCCAGCCGCCGCGGUAACACCCGCAGCACGAGUAGUGGUCACUUUUAUUGAGCCUAAAGCGUUCGUAGCCGGUUUUGUAAAUCUUCAGAUAAAGCCUGAAGCUUAACUCUAGAGAGUCUGAAGAGACUGCAAGACUUGAGAUCGGGUGAGGUUAAACGUACUUUCAGGGUAGGGGUAAAAUCCUGUAAUCCCGGAAGGACGACCAGUGGCGAAAGCGUUUAACUAGAACGAAUCUGACGGUAAGGAACGAAGGCUAGGGUAGCAAACCGGAUUAGAUACCCGGGUAGUCCUAGCUGUAAACAUUGCCCAUUUGAUGUUGCUUUUCCGUUGAGGGAAGGCAGUGUCGGAGCGAAGGUGUUAAAUGGGCCGCUUGGGAAGUAUGGUCGCAAGACUGAAACUUAAAGGAAUUGGC